GAUGAACGCUGGCGGCGUGCCUAAUACAUGCAAGUCGAGCGAACAGACGAUGCGCUUGCUCCUCUGACGUUAGCGGCGGACGUGUGAGUAACACGUGGAUAACCUCCCUAUAAGACUGGGAUAACUUCGGGAAACCGGAGCUAAUACCGUAUAAUAUCUUGCACCGCAUGGUUCAUUAGUGAAAUACGGUUUUUCUGUCACUUCUAGAUGGAUCCGCGCCGCAUUAGCUCGUUGGGAAGGUAACGGCUUUCCAAGGCGACGAUGCGUAGCCGACCUGAGAGGGUGAUCGGCCACACGGGAACUGAGACAAGGUCCAGACUCCUACGGGAGGCAGCAGUAGGGAAUGUUCGGCAAUGGGCGAAAGCAUGACGGAGCAAGGGCGAGUGAGUGAUGAAGGUCUUCGGAUCGUAAAACUCUGUUAUUAGGGAAGAACAAAUAUGGAAGUAAAUAUGCACGUCUUGACGGUAACUAAUCAGAAAGCAACGGCUAACUACGUG
rnacentral:rRNA from 1 species